GGACGAUGCUUUGCGUUUAGAUGAAUCUUUCUUUAAUUAACUUUUUUUGACCUUCAAAUACAACUACCCCUUUUUUCAAAACCCUAAUUUUAACUUUCCCCAUUCUAAUCAUCGAUCUCAAUCAAUUCCUCAGAUCCACUUCGCUGCUUCCUCAGGAAUUAUGUCUUUUGUGCGGAAUUUUCAAGCUGAAGAUCGUAAUUUAAAUGGUGGUUAUUGGUCCACCUAUGACGGAAACAAUAUUGGCAACACUGAUAGGAAAAGAAGCAGGAACCAUUAUAAUCAGAGGAAUUAUAACAAUUACUAUGACAAUCAGACAAGUUUUGGGUACUACGGUGGCAACUUCAACCAAUGCAAUGCGGAUUAUGCUAAUUAUGUUGAUGUUGUUCCAUCAUCUAUGAGAAAGAGAAAACAUUCAGCAACUGUUGGGGCAGAAAGCCAGAAGUUCAAUCUUCCAUCCACAGUUCAUGACAAUAUCCAUUCAUCCCGUAGUUUUCAAGCUUAUCCUACAAGAUCCAAUGCUUAUACCUCUACCCCAGCUAGCCUUAAACCUGAUUUCUCUAUAUUUGACGAUGAUAAGCCAAUCUUUAUGUCAAGGGAUGAUAUUGAUAGAAACUCUCCAUCAAGAAAAGAUGGUAUUGAUGUACAUCAUGAAACACACUUGCGGUAUUCUUACUGUGCCUUCCUUCAGAAUCUCGGAAUAAGGCUUGAACUGCCUCAAACUACCAUUGGGACUUCCAUGGUUCUGUGCCACCGUUUUUUUAUUCGCCGGUCGCAUGCUUGCCAUGACAGAUUUUUGAUAGCUACCGCUGCUCUUUUUCUUGCUGGGAAGUCAGAAGAAUCUCCAUGCCCUUUGAAUAACGUAUUGAGAACAUCCAGUGAAAUCUUGCACAAACAAGAAUUUGCUUUCUUAUCCUACUGGUUUCCUGUUGAUUGGUUUGAACAGUAUCGUGAACGGGUGCUUGAGGCUGAACAGUUGAUACUCACUACUCUAAAUUUUGAACUUGGUGUGCAACAUCCAUAUGCACAUCUUACAUCCGUUAUCAACAAAUUAGGUCUUUCAAAGACUGUUUUGGUGAAUAUGGCAUUAAACUUGGUCAGUGAAGGGUAUCCCUUUUAUUGGUUAUGACUAGCCCGUUAUCUAACAAGUUACUCGAAUGAAAAAAAACCUAGUAUAGGAAACAGAACAUGGGGCAUUGAGUGAUAAAUCUCAAGAAAUUAGCGUGUCUUGAGGUGUGGAGAUCUUGUCGCUGAGGAAGAUACCUUGGAUCUUCACAAGAUUAUCAUGCUGGCCUGUAUGAUAUAAUUAGCUGGCGGAUUGAUAUGCUGUUCUUUGGAAGUUUUGUUUUACAUCUGAAGUUGAACUACUGAUGUCUAAUUGGAUUGCUUUACCAUGAACAUGACUAUUGAUUUUCUUUGGGCUAACCAAGAGCCCUAUGCCCCCAACACAUAUUUUCUGUCAAACCCUCAUUGUGCUGUAGUUUGUGCUGAUUACCAUCGGCCAAAUGGGCUGUUGAUAAUCUUUAGUGACCUACAUGAAAAGAUGAUAUACGGAUUUUUUUUUUCAAAAGCCAACAAAAAGAAGAUAACAGUCUGAAUUUCAAAUAUGGUCCUAGUCUUUAGUUGUCCCGAAUAAAUGUUUUGAUCAAAUUAUGAUGUGAAGCAGACGUGUCAAUCACGGAUUGCAUAAAAUAGCGGUUUGUUCAAAUUCUGCUACGCUACAGUGCUAGCACGCUGCUAUUUGACAUCACUUUGUACUAAAUAGUGACAACAGUGAUCUGUUCAAAUUCCGCUACGGUAUAUAGCACUGCUAUUUGAAAAAACUAAUAUGAAGGAAAAUGGAUUUUCAUGCUUUUUAUGUAAAAAUAGACCACCCUGCUGUCUGAUAGUUGUGUUUGUGUUGUUAUUUUUAAACAAAUAAUUGAAGGAAUUCUUUUACUUGGGUCUAUAAAUUUAUUUGGAGCAAAUUUUUCCUGGGCGAAACCUGAUUUGAUUUUGAACAACUUGGGCCUUUAUUUUUUUUCUUCAAAUGGUUCUGUUAAUGCCAUCUCUUACACUUUCCGCCUGUUCAAAUAGUUGUUUCUUUGUUCUUUUA